rnacentral:rRNA from 1 species
UACAGAGGGUGCGAGCGUUAAUCGGAAUUACUGGGCGUAAAGGGCGCGUAGGCGGUUAUAUAAGUUAGAUGUGAAAUCCCCGGGCUUAACCUGGGAAUGGCAUUUAAUACUGUAUGACUAGAGUAGAGUAGAGGGAAGUGGAAUUUCCGGUGUAGCGGUGAAAUGCGUAGAUAUCGGAAAGAACACCAGUGGCGAAGGCGAUCACCUGGGGAUGUUCUGACGCUGAGGAGCGAAAGCUAGGGGAGCAAACGGG